rnacentral:misc_RNA from 1 species
GUGAACGUCCUCACGGGCUUAUACUAUUCCAAACCUCUGUGAACCGUGCCCUUCGGGGCUAUUUUACAAACAUGGUGUAAUGAACGUCAUAUAUCAUAACAAAACA